CUGCCGUUGUUCUGGGGUCACCUCAGAGGGCUGGGAGGCGAGAUGUGUGGCCAGAAGAGUGAACACAUCCCCUCCACUGUUGAGUAGUUGCAACAAAGGUUGAUCAUCUGCUAGGCUGGGCUCAUGCAUGGUGAUGCGGCCCGUGGAGGUGAAGGUGUGACUCACUGGGUGGAUGCGGUCCAUUGCUAGCUGGGAACAGCGUAACUUCAUCUGCUGCAGUGGCAGUACCACCUGGCCACAGCAACACAACACAUGUGCUAAUUAUUUCUUUUACCAUAACUUUACAUCUCACCUUGUGUUGGAGGCAAUGCUGGAGCCUCGAGAUGAAGGCUGAGGAAGAUGGAGUUCACUGUACAAAACUUUGCUAAUCUCAACUGGGGAAGUGAGACUGAAGGAAUGACCAACCAGACUGUAUGCCUCAUUUUCAAGGGAAGACAGUUUUGCCUGAGGAGAGAUAGAAUAUGAUGUAUGUGUGUAUUUACGUGUGUUGUUCAAAGAAAAAAUAUUACUCCAAUUAAGUAGAAAAAAUAAUUCAAUCCAUGGAAUUCACCACUGACUCAUUCACUUUAUCUACCCAACUUCACAUAAUCUCUUUUUUAGCACCACAAUACAGUUACGCAAUCUGUCAAGUGAGAGUCCUAGAAGCAGCACAGCUCAAACGUCACUUUUUGAAAGCUGAGAAACUCACUCUAAAGUCCAGGAACAAUAACUUCACUUCUCGCAAACAUAUCAACCUCAAACAAGUUUCAUAUGAAAAGCAAGUUCUACAGAACUUUUUGUGACCCAAAAUAAAAAAAUCAUCACAGAA